rnacentral:sRNA from 1 species
AGCCGUCUUUUGGUACCCCUGGGCGCCCACCUCUCCCUCUGGUCGACCUCCCCAUGGGUGCCCUACUGCAGACCUAGGAAGAAGAAGGGAAGAAGAAGAAAGGGAAAGAAGGAAGCGGAGGGAAUUGAGAUGAAGAAGGAAAUGAGGGGUUUUGGUUGCCGCUGCCCAUGGAGGCCUAGGUGAUGCCACUUCGGAAUGCAACUAGAGUUCAUCUCAUCAUCGGUGAAGGUACUUGCUGUGACAUGUUUGUAUGAAGGGAUGGGAUUAGCUACACAGUCACACGACAUGAUCUCACUUAGACAUGAGUAUUGUAAUAUGCUGAUAAGAUUACUUGUGUUUAUAUAUAAUGGGCUAAUUAAUUACUAGAGUUGUUGACCAUUGGUAAACUACUUUUUUCAAGCCUAUCCCUACAUGUCAGUCAAUUGUUGUAUCAUAACUUUAAUCUAUAUGUUGCUGCUUCCGCGACGUUUUCUUGUCU